rnacentral:misc_RNA from 1 species
UUUCUAUCCUCUGUUUAGAAAAAAUCUCCGAUUCCAUUUCCCUCAAUCCAAACAGGGUAAAGGACCGGGCGUUUGAAUGAGCUCUAGGGAUUCAGAAUAGCAGACGGAGUUCCUGAAACAAUUCCAGGUAUGUUUGAUUCCACUUGCUAAUCUCUGUUUCUUGUUGAAAGAAUGACUCUUUAAAAUCUAUUAAAAGAAUGACUCUCUGGAUCUUCAGAACUCUCGUAUUACUCUCUCGAAACACCUCUCAGCUUCUCCACAAACCUCCAGCCCUGCAUUCAGUAUCCCUCCUUUUCUUUUCCGCUUUUAGGUCCACAGAAUCUAAACCCAAAACCACAAUCUUUGAUUACUUGAUCAAUCAACUACAGUUCUCCCCUGAAUCCGCUUCAGUUGUCUCAUCAUCAACUACUAAGUACCUCAUAGAACCCCAAAAUGCAGAUUCGGUGCUAAAUUUCCUCAUAAAAAAUGGUUUCUCUAAAGCCCACAUUGAAAAUGUUGUACGAAGAGUGCCCCGUAUUCUCUCUGCUAGUCUUGAGAAUAAAAUCAAGCCAAAAAUCAAGAUUUUUCGGGACUUGGGUUUUAAUUCCAUCGAUGUUGCUGAUAUAGUAUCUGCUGAUCCUUGGAUUUUGGAUUAUAGUGCGGAUAAUAAGCUCGGGCCAUCAAUUUUAGCCUUAAAGAAUGUGUUGGGAUCUGACGCUGAUGUUUCUACGUUGUUAAAGAUUUCUGGAUGGUUUCUAAAGAAGGAUUUGGAAAGGACAUUGAUACCUAACAUCAAAUACUUGAAGAGUUGUGGGAUUAGUUCCUCACAAAUCUUUGGAUGUGUGUUUAACUUUCCACGGUUUUUUUCUAGAGAAGCCAGAGAAUAUUAAGGAAUUUGUUAGAAGGGUUGAUGAAAUGGGCGUUGAUAGGAAAUCUAAGACGUUUCUUCCUGCCAUUAGGGUGCUGGGUUCCAUGACUAAAGAGAAUUGGGAGCGCAAAUUGAAACUCUUCAGGGAACUGGGGUUCUCAGAGGAUAAUAUUUUGUUUGCUUUUGGGAGGGUAGCUCAAGUACUUGCAGUAUCUGAGAGGAAGAUUAAGGAAGUAACUCAGUUGUUGCUAAGUGUUGAGAACAUCAACAUCUCUUACAUUAUUUGCCACCCAGAGUUUGUGACAUCGGAACUUUUGAGGUCUGAAUAGUAUCAUUUUCAGUUAGUGAAUAAUACUAUUCAAAGUCAGUUUAAGAACUAAAAAUAAGAUGAAAAUAAAUUGAAAUAAGGAGAAUAAAAAUUAAAGUGACCAUCGGGUUAUGGGCUUACUUGGUAUUACUAAAAAAGAUUAACUAUAACCCGAUGAAAGACAUUUUGAUCAAUUCAUUCCUAAAGUUGAUUUUUGACCUAAAUGUCUAUUAAAAUGAGAGAGAUUAAAAUAUUAAAAGUGAAUUAAAUAUAUGAAAAGUGUAUGAAAAUUUAAGAAGGGAUAUGGGCAGAAUUAAACAAAUUGUUAAAAUUAUAAUAAAUAUAAUUAAAAAUGUGGAUAAUUAUAUAAGUAUAAGACAAAAAUAAUAAAUGUCAAAAAGUCUUCUUCUUCUUCCAUUUCUCUCCAUGGCCUAACUCAAGCUUCCAUAGCUCUUCCACCAUUUUAGAUUUUCAAGCUCCAUUUUCCUUGCAUUUCUUUCAUAUUUUCCAUACCCACCAACACAAAAAUUUGCUAAUUGAUCUUGGAGAAGUGAUUAGUAGCAAAAGGAAGCAAAGAAAUUGAAGUUUUGGCAAGGGGAAGAAUUGGUCAAGUGAGGUUAGAUGGAGUCUGAUCCUUCGGAGCACGGAUCUCCUAGACCUAUGGAGGAAGAAGUUGAGAGUCAUGUAUCUGCCCGUUGUCGGGAUAGAGACACAAGAGAGGAUUCGUCGCAGGGUGCCAUUGGUAGGGCACAACAGGCAUUUCUAGAGCAGAUGACUCAGAUGCUUCGUCAGGUUAUCGGAGUCAUUCCACAGGCACAGGCACAGGCACAGGCACAGGCACAGCUAGUUCAGAGGUCCCCACUAGAGAAAUUGAGGAAGUAUGGGGCUGUGGAUUUUAAGGCUACGAAGGAGGACGAUCCAACAGUUGCAGAGUACUGGUUAGAGAGGACUGAGAGAGUACUACGACAGUUGCACUGUACACCUGAGCAACAGUUAGAGUGUGCUAUCUCAUUACUACAAGAGGACGCCUACCGGUGGUGGGUUAUGGUGUCAAGAGUUGUGCAGCCUACAGUAAUUACAUGGGACUUCUUUUUGGCUGAAUUCAAGAAAAAGUACAUCAACCAUGUUUAUUUGGAGGCGAGACGGAGGGAGUUUCUAGCCUUGAGGCAGAGACAGCUAACAGUAUUAGAAUAUGAGAGAGAGUUUGUACGGCUAAGCAGAUAUGCCUGGGAGGUGAUGCCUACAGAGGCCGAUAGGUGCCGACGGUUUGAGAAUGGACUGAAUGAUAAUAUCAGACUUCUAGUCUUGGAACACCGGAUUACUGAUUUCUCCCAAUUGGUGGUAGCGGCUCUGAAUGUGGAGAGAGUCAGGGAUAGUGAGCAGACUAGGAGGAAUAAGCAGCGUAAGAGAGGAUCUGGAUCGGGGCAGUCUAGCAUGUCGACUUUUGCUAGUAAGAAGCCCAAGGGUUCACAGAGCCAGACACAGGGCCAGAGAGGCCAGUUUGGGGUAUCAGUGGCCAGUUCUCGGGGCACAGCAGCAACGGGAUCAGCCCCAGUGCCCGAAUGCUUACAUUGUGGUAGGAGACACAAAGGGGAGUGUCAAAUGUUGACUGGGGGAUGUUUCCGUUGUGGAGCUACAGAUCAUUAUCUGCGGGAUUGCCCACAGAGGAGUGUUCCCACAGCUCCACCACAGACAGAGAGGUCUGCCCGAGCAGCUCAGAGGGGUCGAAGACCUGCUAGGACAGAAGCGGCUGAUACUUCACAGAAAGCUGCUUCUGAGAUAGUUGAGAGGCCCGAAGCCAUAGUAGCACCAUGCGUAUAUGCCAUGAAGGCUUGGGAGGAGUCAAAUCUAGACACUGAAGAGGUGACACAGGAAAGCGAAGCAAUGAGGAGGUAGCAGUUUCUUCCGCUAUUUACAUCAGGUAUUGGAGAGAAGGACCAGUAGUGAUCAGAUCUACAGUAGGAGAGUUGUCACCUCAAUUGUUCAUUUUGGUAGGACCCAUGGAUAUCUGAUAUGUACAUUUUGCCUAUUGUAAACAAAUGAAAGUUUGUUAUUAAAUUUGGGAUUGUAUAAGUUCUGUAAAUUACGUACAUGAAUUAUAUAAAUGAAAUGAGAUGAAUUACACAUGAAUGAAUAUGAGUUGCUUAUAUGAGUGGAUGAAAACAUGAUAUGAUAUGGACAUGAUUGGAUAUGAUUUGAAAUGAUUUAAAUUAUGAUGAGAUUUAUAAACAGGUAAAUGUAAUACAGGUCAAAUGUUAAUAAAACAGAGUAAACUCUAUCAGUUUCUCCAUAAAAAUAUGGUAAUUUAAAAUAUAAUGACAUUAAAACUAAUAAUGAAUAAGACAAGAUAAGAUAAGGUGCCUCGGGCACAGAUUGUAGCAUGCCUUACUCGGCUACAUUGUAGAU